AUGGCUGGCAAAAAAUCGGCCAAUAUUGUUAAUGUGCUUCGAGAUAAAACCAAAGUUUGUAUCCGGGUAAUUGAAAACGUGUCAAAAGUUUACACCCCCAGCAACUCGCGUACGAAUGUGAAGCAAGUCCGGACGUUUAAAGUCAAAGUCCCGGACCAGAAAACGGCCGGCGGGUGGGGGGAGGGGCGAGGGCGCGUCCCGAAGAUGUCCACCCUCAGCACCGCUCAGGCUGCCGCCCCCCCCCCUCGGGCUGGAGAGACCCAAGGGUCUCGCGAAAUCCCAGUGCAGAAGUCCGGGUCCCGCCACCAGCAGCCUCCGCGCCCCCUCCGGCUCAGCUGCGAGCCUGCAGACGGCGCCCCCGGGGCAAACUCAGCGGGGGAAGAGGAAGCGACGCAGCGAGUAACAGGCUGUGAGGACGGGCAGCGGACUGAAGGACGGGGGUGUGUGUGUGUGUUGGCCUCCCAGCAAGGCCAUCUCACCCUCCCGCUUCCGAGCCGGCUAGCCGCAGCUCACCUGAGGAAGGCACCGGGACGCCGCCGCGGCCGCCGUGAUGGCAGUAACGGCACGAGGCCUGCGUUCCACCGCCGCAGAGACGCCGCCGCUUCCUGCUUCAAUAGUGCUUGGACAGAACCCGGCGCUCAUCCCCCACCCCGGCCGGCCGCCCAUAGCCAGCCCUCCCUCACCUCCUCACCGCGCCCUCAGACCGCCCCAAGGCCCCAGUCACCGCUCCAGCGCCGCACAGCCGCCGCCACGACGACCGCGUCCGUCUGGCAGGUGCAGCAGAACUACCACCAGGGCUCAGAAGCCGCCAUCAACCGCCAGAUCAACCUGGAGCUCUAUGCCUCUUACGUCUGCCUGUCAUAUCUUACUACUUUUGAUGAUGUAGCUUUGAAGAACUUUGCCAAAUCUUUCUUCAGCAAUCUCAUGGGGAGAGUGAACACGCUGAGAAAGUGAUGAAGCUGCAGAACCAACGAAGUGGCCAAAUCUUCAAGAUAUCAAGAAACCAGACCACGAUGACUGGGAGAGCGGGCUGAAUGCAAUGGAGUGUGCAUUACGUUUGGAAAAAAAAUGUCAAUCAGUCACUACUGGAACUGCACAAACUGGCCACUGACAAAAAUGGCCUCCAUUUGUGUGACUUCAUUGAGACACAUUACCUGAAUGAGCAGGUGAAAUCCAUCAAAGAAUUGGGUGACCACGUGACCAACUUUCAAACGAUGGGAGCACCCGCAUCUGGCUUGGCAGAGUAUCUCUUUGACAAGCACAUCCUGGGAGGCAAUGAUAAUGAAAGCUAAGUCUUAGGCUAAUUUCCCCAUAGUCAUAGGGUGACUUUCCUGGUCACCAAGGCAAUGCAUGCAUGUUGGGGUUUCCUUUACCUUUUCUGUAAGUUGUAUCAAAACAUCCACUUAAGUUCUUUGAUUUGUACCAUUCCUUCAAAUAAAGAAAUUUGGCACCCAG